AUGGCGCAGGCCAAAUGCGGAGUAGAUUCCCAAACCUACGCCCAGAUCGACACCUGUAGUCCAGGCCGGGUGUUCGACGCUGCCGUGACCGUCGCCCCGAGCGACGACGAGCGGCUUGCGCACGGGGGCUGCCGUGCGGUCGUCGACGAAGAGCAGGACACCAAGGUCAAGAUCUCGGAGGCGCUGGAGGCGGCGGCGCGGGCCGUUGGGUACGACCCCGUGGAGAGGUCCGACGCCGCGGCCAUACGCGCCGCGGAGGCGCGCGCCGUCGGCACCGGAGUGGACAUCCCUGCCGGGAUCGCAGCGCAGGCGCAGGCUGCAGCGGACGCCAACGCCACGGCCGCGCACGCCGAGGACAAGAUCACCAUCGGAGACGUCCUCAAGUGGAACGCGACGGCGAAGCUGCCUUCGGGCAAGGCGGUGACGAGGGAGGACGCGGCUGCCGCGGUGGAGGCGGAGGCGGCGCAUGCCCCCGGCAAGGCGACCAAGCCAUACGGUGUGGGAGCGGCGCUUACAGAGGCCGCGAGGCGCAAUCAGGAGGGGACUUGCCGUAAAUAG
rnacentral:rRNA from 1 species